AAAACAUCGCCUUCCGCAACUAAUAGAAGGUCCAGCCUGCCCAGUGACAAACUUAAACGGCCGCGGUAUUUUAACCGUGCAAAGGUAGCAUAAUCACUUGUUCUUUAAAUAAGGACUAGUAUGAACGGCACCACGAGGGUUCUACUGUCUCCCCCCCUUAAUCAGUGAAAUUAAUCCCCCCGUGAAGAAGCGGGGAUAAGCUUAUAAGACGAGAAGACCCCAUGGAGCUUUAAACUGAGUAUCACUUGCAUUCCACACAUCAAUAAGAUCCAGCAAACAUGCCUACCAGUUUUUGGUUGGGGCGACCACGGAGUAAAACAAAACCUCCAUGACGAAAGGAGCUAAUCUCCUAAUCAAAGAGCCACAACUCAUAGAAUCAACAUAUUGACCUAAUUGACCCACACCCUGAGCAACGAACCAAGUUACCCUGGGGAUAACAGCGCAAUCCAUUUCAAGAGCUCCUAUCGACAAAUGGGUUUACGACCUCGAUGUUGGAUCAGGGUAUCCCAGUGGUGCAGCCGCUACUAAAGGUUCGUUUGUUCAACGAUUAAAACCCUACGUGAUCUGAG
rnacentral:rRNA from 1 species